UAGUGAACGAAUGAAUAGGUGAGUGA
rnacentral:piRNA from 1 species